GUUUCGAAAAGGUUCCUGCCAGGGAACUAGGAACAAACUUGUGUCUACUCAUGGGGGUCGGUACUAAAAAAUCUACCUCCUUGCGUCUCAUUUCUCCCCAGUGUCCAUUAAACAUAGAGGAGUACAACAAAAAUGAUAAGGAACAUGUAAUGCCGGUAAAACAAACAUCCCGUCGAACAAAAAUUCCCCAAGACUGAAGGAGGAGGAGUGGGAGAGAGAGGCAGCAGAAUGCAGGCAGCAGAAGCAGGCUUUAAAUCAUCACCUCUGUGCUGUGGAUGGGAAAGAAUGGCCGUACCUCUGUCUCAGCACAUGUCUUUUGAGGAGGUGGCCGUGUAUUUCACCCGACAGGAGUGGGAUCUCCUAGAUCCAGGCCAAAGAUCCCUGUAUAAAGAAGUCAUGCAGGAGAUCUACAGGAUGGUUGCCUCC